rnacentral:rRNA from 1 species
AGUGAACGCUGGCGGUAGGCCUAACACAUGCAAGUCGAACGGCAGCACAGUAAGAGCUUGCUCUUACGGGUGGCGAGUGGCGGACGGGUGAGGAAUACAUCGGAAUCUACUUUUUCGUGGGGGAUAACGUAGGGAAACUUACGCUAAUACCGCAUACGACCUACGGGUGAAAGCAGGGGAUCUUCGGACCUUGCGCGAUUGAAUGAGCCGAUGUCGGAUUAGCUAGUUGGCGGGGUAAAGGCCCACCAAGGCGACGAUCCGUAGCUGGUCUGAGAGGAUGAUCAGCCACACUGGAACUGAGACACGGUCCAGACUCCGACGGGAGGCAGCAGUGGGGAAUAUUGGACAAUGGGCGCAAGCCUGAUCCAGCCAUACCGCGUGGGUGAAGAAGGCCUUCGGGUUGUAAAGCCCUGUUGUUGGGAAAGAAAAGCAGCAGGUUAAUACCCCGCUGUUCUGACGGUACCCAAAGAAUAAGCACCGGCUAACUUCGUG